GACGAACGCUGGCGGCGUGCUUAACACAUGCAAGUCGAACGGAAAGGCCCUGCUUUUGUGGGGUGCUCGAGUGGCGAACGGGUGAGUAACACGUGAGUAACCUGCCCUUGACUUUGGGAUAACUUCAGGAAACUGGGGCUAAUACCGGAUAGGAGCUCCUGCUGCAUGGUGGGGGUUGGAAAGUUUCGGCGGUUGGGGAUGGACUCGCGGCUUAUCAGCUUGUUGGUGGGGUAGUGGCUUACCAAGGCUUUGACGGGUAGCCGGCCUGAGAGGGUGACCGGCCACAUUGGGACUGAGAUACGGCCCAGACUCCUACGGGAGGCAGCAGUGGGGAAUAUUGCACAAUGGGCGGAAGCCUGAUGCAGCAACGCCGCGUGCGGGAUGACGGCCUUCGGGUUGUAAACCGCUUUCGCCUGUGACGAAGCGUGAGUGACGGUAAUGGGUAAAGAAACACCGGCUAUCUACGU
rnacentral:rRNA from 1 species